rnacentral:rRNA from 1 species
UACGUAGGGCGCAAGCGUUGUCCGGAAUUAUUGGGCGUAAAGAGCUCGUAGGUGGUUUGUCGCGUCUGCCGUGAAAGCCCGGGGCUUAACUCCGGGUCUGCGGUGGAUACGGGCAGACUAGAGGCAGGUAGGGGAGAACGGAAUUCCCGGUGUAGCGGUGGAAUGCGCAGAUAUCAGGAGGAACACCAAUAGCGAAGGCAGCUCGCUGGGACGGUACUGACGCUGAGGCGCGAAAGCGUGGGGAGCGAACAGG